rnacentral:rRNA from 1 species
AUGCCCGCUGCUGCAUCCCCCGCCGUCAACGUCGCGAGUGUCCGCACCCAUGUCCCUGUGACACUGGACCUCCAUGCCUCCAACUUCACCAAGUGGAGGAUGCUCAUCCGUGUGCUUCUAGGCAAGUACGAUCUGCUCUCCCACGUCAACACCGCCACUGCCGAGGCGGACUGCACCGCGGACUGGUUUCGCGAGGACUAUAUUGUCCGCUCGUGGCUCUAUGGGUCCAUCUCGGACGAGAUACUCGACAUAAUCAUGGCGGAACGAGACGGCGCAAGAAGCUUGGACACUCAUCACCAACCUUUUUCUUGA